rnacentral:rRNA from 1 species
GAUGAACGCUGGCGGCGUGCUUAACACAUACAAGUCGAACGAUGAAGCCCAGCUUGCUGGGUGGAUUAGUGGCGAACGGGUGAGUAACACGUGAGUAACCUGCCCUUGACUCUGGGAUAAGCGCUGGAAACGGCGUCUAAUACCGGAUACGAGCUUCCACCGCAUGGUGAGUUGCUGGAAAGAAUUUCGGUCAAGGAUGGACUCGCGGCCUAUCAGGUAGUUGGUGAGGUAACGGCUCACCAAGCCGACGACGGGUAGCCGGCCUGAGAGGGUGACCGGCCACACUGGGACUGAGACACGGCCCAGACUCCUACGGGAGGCAGCAGUGGGGAAUAUUGCACAAUGGGCGCAAGCCUGAUGCAGCAACGCCGCGUGAGGGACGAAGGCCUUCGGGUCGUAAACCUCUUUUAGCAGGGAAGAAGCGAAAGUGACGGUACCUGCAGAAAAAGCACCGGCUAACUACGUG